UGAUGCCAGGGUCAAAAGGUCUAAAUCCACAUGAGCUUGCUCAUAGGUGGAUGAAAGACCUUGGGACCCGCCCCGAUAUGAGCAUAAAAGUGGGAUGAUAAUCCCACGAUAUGCGAAUACUGGGGUGCUAUGUGCCAGUGGCACAUGUUUAGCACCG
rnacentral:sRNA from 1 species